rnacentral:rRNA from 1 species
CGGGCGGCAGCAGUGGGGAAUUUUGGACAAUGGGCGAAAGCCUGAUCCAGCAAUGCCGCGUGUGGGAAGAAGGCCUUCGGGUUGUAAACCACUUUUGUACGGAACGAAACGGUUCGCCUUAAUACGGCGAGCUAAUGACGGUACCGUAAGAAUAAGCACCGGCUAACUACGUGCCAGCAGCCGCGGUAAUACGUAGGGUGCGAGCGUUAAUCGGAAUUACUGGGCGUAAAGCGUGCGCAGGCGGUGAUGUAAGACAGUUGUGAAAUCCCCGGGCUCAACCUGGGAAUUGCAUCUGUGACUGCAUCGCUAGAGUACGGUAGAGGGGGAUGGAAUUCCGCGUGUAGCAGUGAAAUGCGUAGAUAUGCGGAGGAACACCGAUGGCGAAGGCAAUCCCCUGGACCUGUACUGACGCUCAUGCACGAAAGCGUGGGGAGCAAACAGGAUUAGAUACCCCAGU